rnacentral:lncRNA from 1 species
AUCAGAGACAGCAAGAUGGCUUACCAGGUAAAGGUGCCUGCCACCUAGCCUAGAAGGAGAAAACCACCUCCUGAGAAGAAAGGUGUGGACACUAUUAGAAAACAAACCAGUCAGGAGUAGGAGGAACAAGGAAGGGGAAGUUGGGGAGGACAAGAGCUAGUAAAGGAAUCUUUUUUAAAACUAAUUUUUAGGACUGGUGAUGUGGCGCAGUGGUAAAGGCACAUGCUGCCAGACCUGCUAAUGUCUCUGGGCUAUCUGGCCUCUGGUUGCUAGAAGUGUCCCGAAAGAGCUCCCUAACAUGGAAUGGGUCUGACUGGACCAGUCAGUGGUUGGCUACUCCCACACGUUCUAGUCUACCUUCACUCCAGCAAAUUUUGCAGUCAAGACAAAUUGUAGGUCAAAGGUUAUGACUGGGUUGGUGUCUCUGUUCCUCCACUGGAAGUCUUGCCUGGUUACAGAAGUUACAAGUCUUUGCUACGGUCACCCUUGUAGAUUCCAGGGAGUUUCCAUUGCACUACAUUUCUACUUACCCCAGAAAUGACCACCAAUUCCAGCCUUUCCCAGUACUCUCUCCC